UUGGCCUUGAAUCAAGGCCAGGAGUUUGCUGAAGCUUUUGGUUUCAAGCAGGAGCCUAAGGCAUUAUCUUUCUAUGGUCUGUUGGCCAUUUCAGAAUUUUGAAACGUAAUGGUCAAUGCAUUAGAAAGAAACAGUA